CCCAGGAUCGGGCGCAGCCUGAUCCAGCCAUGCCGCGUGCAGGAUGAAGGCCUUCGGGUUGUAAACUGCUUUUGUACGGAACGAAAAGCCUCUUUCUAAUAAAGAGAGGUCAUGACGGUACCGUAAGAAUAAGCACCGGCUAACUACGUGCCAGCAGCCGCGGUAAUACGUAGGGUGCAAGCGUUAAUCGGAAUUACUGGGCGUAAAGCGUGCGCAGGCGGUUUUGUAAGACAGAGGUGAAAUCCCCGGGCUCAACCUGGGAACUGCCUUUGUGACUGCAAGGCUGGAGUGCGGCAGAGGGGGAUGGAAUUCCGCGUGUAGCAGUGAAAUGCGUAGAUAUGCGGAGGAACACCGAUGGCGAAGGCAAUCCCCUGGGCCUGCACUGACGCUCAUGCACGAAAGCGUGGGGAGCAAACAGGAUUAGAUACCCUGGUAGUCCACGCCCUAAACGAUGUCAACUGGUUGUUGGGUCUUCAGUGACUCAGUAACGAAGCUAACGCGUGAAGUUGACCGCCUGGGGAGUACGGCCGCAAGGUUGAAACUCAGAGGAAUUGACGGACACAC
rnacentral:rRNA from 1 species